UCUGAAAGCAUUCCUUUUGCCUUUUCCAACAGAGUUGAACAACUGGAAAGAAAGGAAGGAACUUAAAAAAAAAAAUCCCUGAAGUUUUUGGCAAACUUUAGGUGCUCUUUCCCCCACCCUGUAAUUAAGACCGAAGUAAACAGUAAGAGAAUAUCAAAUUGCUGCUUGCUUCAGUAAUAGGUGCCCAGGUGGAGCUGCUGCUUGUAUGGACCUGUGUCUUGAGACGGAAGGGCAGCCUCUCUGGGGAACACUCCAAAGGGUCCCCAGACCUGACACAUCAAGAUUAACACCUGAGGAUUUGGAGCUGAGUGAUAAGAAAGGAUGCUGGAGCUUUCCAUGGGUCCUGGAUCAUCAAUCCCAAAUCUGAAAAUAUUAAAGUUUUUCUGAAAAUUUAUGAAUCUCUGAGGUGAACUUAAUAACACAAUUGCAGAAUCUUGAAUCACCUGAAUUCCUAUCCUGGUUCCCACAGAACGUUCAUUUGGGUCUAGGGAGAAGGUCUUCUAAUGAUCCCAGAGCUGUCAUGAUAAUUAUCUACCACCACUUCAGGGAGAUGCUGUAGUAUAAAGUAGUGUUGGCUCUGCUAUUGGACAAACACAGAUGAAGAUCCUGGUUCCAUUGUUUACCACCCCCGACUCUGGGCAAGGCUGCAGAAACACUGGGGGCACAGUGGCUCAAGGUUCAGGAUGGCUGAGGAAUAUGGUCCUGCUCCAGGUGAAGAGACAACUCUGUCCCUUGGAAAUAAGGGAUGUUUAUCGAAGAGUCAACUCGGAGACCUCGUGGCCUUAG
rnacentral:lncRNA from 1 species